UACGUAGGGUGCGAGCGUUGCCCGGAUUUAUUGGGCGUAAAGGGCGCGCAGGCGGUUCGGCACGUCCGUUGUGAAAUCGCUCGGCUCAACUGGGCGGGGUCAGCGGAUACGGUCGAACUUGAGCAAGCUAGGGGGCAAUGGAAUUCCCGGUGUAGUGGUGGAAUGCGUAGAUAUCGGGAGGAACACCAGUGGCGAAGGCGGUUGCCUGGAGCUUUGCUGACGCUGAGGCGCGAAAGCGUGGGGAGCGAUCCGG
rnacentral:rRNA from 1 species